rnacentral:rRNA from 1 species
AUACGGAGGAUCCGAGCGUUAUCCGGAUUUAUUGGGUUUAAAGGGUGCGUAGGCGGUCGGGUAAGCGUAGGGUGAAAGUCCUCUGCUCAACAGAGGAAGUGCCUUCCGAACUGUCCGACUGGAAUGCUCCUGCCGUGGGAGGAAUGUGUGGUGUAGCGGUGAAAUGCAUAGAGAUCACACAGAACACCGAUUGCGAAGGCAUCUCCGGAAGGGGCUAUUGACGCUGAGGCACGAAAGCGUGGGGAUGGAACAGGAUUAGAUACCCUGGUAGUCCCCGCAGUAAACGAUGAUGACUAACCGUCGGCGAUAGACCGCCGGUGGCCAAGCGAAAGCGAUAAGUCAUCCACCUGGGGAGUACGACCGCAAGGUUGAAACUCAAAUGAAUUGACGGGG